UACUACCCGUAUUAUUGAUGCAUUCAUUCAAGAAAGAAAAGUCAUUGCGCGCCGCCAUUAUACAAUUGUCAAGAUUCUUUAACGUCAUAUGUUCUAAAGAAAUUCAUCGUAUGGAGCUUCAAGAAAUGAAAAAUAAAAUAGUGGAAACAUUAUGUGUUUUCGAAAAGUAUUUUCCACCAUCAUUUUUCGUUUCUAUGACACACCUUGUUGUGCACUUGGCGGAGGAGGCACAAGUUUGCGGACCUGUCAGAUAUCGAUGGAUGUAUCCUUUUGAGAGGUAACUUUAACUAUUUUAAUUUAUUAACUUUUUCAAAAUAGCUUAUAUUUUUUCAUCAAUACCUGAUUUUAAUAUUUAACAGGAUGAUGAGAACAUACAAGAAGUAUGUGAUGAAUCAAGCUUACCCAGAGGGCUGUAUUGCGGAACGCUACAUUAUAGAGGAAUCUAUGAUGUACUGCAUGGAAUACUAUCCUAAUAAUACAAUAGGAGGUCAUAAGCAAGGACUAAAAAUAUUCAAUGAUGAUGAAAAUGCUGGUGAUUCCCAGAAUGAUAAGAAAGGAAAAGUUUAUGAUCUUACUACAGUGCAAUACCAACAAGCACGCAGAUGGGUUUUGCAACAUCACGUUGAAAAUCAUCAAUGGGAGGAGUAAGUUAAUGAAGUAUAUUAUUCUUUUUUAUAUUUUUAAAUGGCUUAUGGUAAUAAACAUUGUUAUAUAUAUAAUUAAUUGCUAUGAUUUGAAAUUUGUAGGAAGUACCAAACAUACAUCCAGGGCCAAACACGUACGGGACAAAAUCGAAAGGGUAAUCUGUCAGCAGGAAAACCAAUGGAAUACAUUCCUUGGUUAAGACAUCAACUAAAUAAUCAAGAAAUGUCUCAAUUUAAGAGAAUUGCCGAUGGUCCUAACUUCAAAUGCAUAUCAUAUAAUACUUACUCAGUAAAUGGAUAUGUUUUUAACACUACGGAUUCUGAAAUGAACAGAACAACACAGAACAGUGGAGUCUCAAUGAAAGCGCUAACUAGCUUCAGGGCAAGUGCCAGGGAUAGGAAUCCUAUAGAAGAAGAAGUCACUUAUUAUGGCAUCAUUAGACAAAUUCUCGAAUUGAACUACUUCGACUUCAGAGUAGCACUCUUCUACUGUGAUUGGGUGCAUAUUGAAGAUAAAUUGAAUGGAUGUUUCAUAGAUCCCGAAACAAAUUUGAUAUUUGUCAAUCUAGGAAGGUUUAGACGGAACUUAAAGGAAGACGAUGAGCCGUUUAUUCUUGCAUCUCAGGCAGCUCAGGUCUUCUACUGUAAGGAUCCAACUAGAGAUGACUGGCAUGUUGUACUGGAUGCUCCUAAGAGAUUGACGAAAGAUGCAUAUGCAUUUGAAGAUCCACUUGAGUUUGAGGCCAGAAGGAAUGUAGGUUCUUCAGCACUUUCAUUAAUCGAUGAUUUAAAUGAAGAAGAUGAAGAUGUACAGGAAAAAUCAUGGGUAGAGAGUGAGCCGAGUACCUCACGUCAUAGGAAACGGAAAAGAAACUAAUAAGAUUCAAAUCAGUUUGAAAGUGAGUUGAAUUCUAUUUAGUAAUGAUUGUUACAAUUUUUUAGCUAUCAAAAUAUUAAUAGAAUGCCAAUUACAUAAUAAUGAGAUAUUGUUUUGUUUUAUAAAAUUGCAGGAAUUAUGUCAGAUUUUGGUGGUUCAUCAGCUUCAGCCCAAGGAAGCAAUACAAGGAAGAGACUUGAAUUAAAUGAAUAUAAACAACCAGUCGGAGAAACAUCAGCGCCUUUCAACACAUUUUUAGGGCAACUUGGCAGGACACAUUGUCCAAUUUCAUUUGCUGAUUGGCGCAAAGUGCCUGGUGCAAUUAAAGAUAAUAUCUGGUCUAUGGUUUUGGUGAGCAUGUUUGUUCUUGAUUUUAUUUCUAAUUCUUACUCAAUAAGAUUGUUUGAUUAUUAAUUUAAUGAAAUAGGCCACGUACGACAUCGAUGAUGAGUUAAAAGAAUAUGCAUUUUCAAAAGUAAGCAAAGCUUGGAAGGUAUGGAAAUACAAUCUGCGAAAGGAAUAUGAUAAAUUUGAUAAUGAUGUAGAAAGAAGAAGAAAUUGUCCCAUUGGUGUAAAGCAAGAGGAUUGGGACAUUUUCAUUAAUUUAUAAUCCACAGAAUUAUUAAUCAAUCUUCGUAAGAAGGGAAAGACUUCCAGAGCACAGGUGAAAUGCCCUCACACGACUGGAAGACGAGGUGCUGCUAGGACAUUAGAGAAAAUGCGAAAAGAAAAUCCAAAUACUAUCAUCACCAGGACCGACUUGUUUGUUGCCACUCAUAGCAGACCUGAUGGGUCUUACCCAACACAAACACAUCUUGAAACAGCGGUGAGAAUAAUUUUUCAGUUUUUAAUCAUUUUUUUAUUUAAGUACAAUGAAGGAUUUAUUGUAACAAUUAUCUUCCAACAAGAAAGAAUAUUAUCGAUAGCUGGCAGUGAUCCUUCCAGUAAGCAUAAGGAUUUAGACCACGACCCAGUUUCACAGGUUUGGGGUCGUGAUAGCAGAGGCCGGGUUAGGGGGAUGGGUUUUGGUAUUUCUAAGACUACUAUGAAGGUUACCACCCCCUACAUCAUAGAAGCUCGAUCAGAGAGGAAUGCACGUAUGUCCAUUGAGGCUAAAUUUGAAGCAUCAAUGACUCAAAUGCAAGAAUUUCGUAUGAUUGUUGAGCAACAAUUUGCUAAACUUAGGCAACAAAUUACUCAUCAAAGCCAACUACUUCACCGCUCCCCUGAUACAGUUGCAUCUCAGGUACUGCAUUUGCCGUGAUCAAAUGAUAUAAUUAUUAUUUUUAAAG